UACGUAGGGCGCAAGCGUUAUCCGGAAUUAUUGGGCGUAAAGAGCUCGUAGGCGGUUUGUCGCGUCUGCCGUGAAAGUCCGGGGCUCAACUCCGGAUCUGCGGUGGGUACGGGCAGACUAGAGUGUGGUAGGGGAGACUGGAAUUCCUGGUGUAGCGGUGAAAUGCGCAGAUAUCAGGAGGAACACCGAUGGCGAAGGCAGGUCUCUGGGCCACUACUGACGUGAGAAGCGAAAGCAUGGGGAGCGAACAGG
rnacentral:rRNA from 1 species